rnacentral:rRNA from 1 species
UACGUAGGGGGCAAGCGUUGUCCGGAAUCAUUGGGCGUAAGCGCGUGUAGGCGGCUCAGUAAGUCCGCUCUGAAAGCCCGGGGCUUAACCCCGGGAGGCGGGUGGAUACUGCUGAGCUUGAGUCCGGAAGAGGCGAGUGGAAUUCCCGGUGUAGCGGUGAAAUGCGCAGAUAUCAGGAGGAACACCAAUGGCGAAAGGCAGCUCGCUGGGGACGUGACUGACGCU